rnacentral:rRNA from 1 species
AACGAACGCUGGCGGCAUGCCUAACACAUGCAAGUCGAACGAGACCUUCGGGUCUAGUGGCGCACGGGUGCGUAACGCGUGGGAACCUGCCCUUAGGUUCGGAAUAACUCCCCGAAAGGGGUACUAAUACCGGAUAAUGUCUUCGGACCAAAGAUUUAUCGCCUUUGGAUGGGCCCGCGUUGGAUUAGCUAGUUGGUAGGGUAAAAGCCUACCAAGGCGACGAUCCAUAGCUGGUCUGAGAGGAUGAUCAGCCACACUGGGACUGAGACACGGCCCAGACUCCUACGGGAGGCAGCAGUGGGGAAUAUUGGACAAUGGGCGAAAGCCUGAUCCAGCAAUGCCGCGUGAGUGAUGAAGGCCUUAGGGUUGUAAAGCUCUUUUACCCGGGAUGAUAAUGACAGUACCGGGAGAAUAAGCUCCGGCUAACUCCGU